GUGGCACGUGUGGGAGUUGUGUGGCACAUUUGAGAGUUGUGUGGCACGUGUCACUACACAUGUGUGGGAGUGGUGUGUGUGGCACGUGUCACACGUACACACGUAUGGGACUGGUGCGUGCGCGUGACGCGUACACACGUGUGAAGGCCCUUUUGAGGCUAGAAUCGGGAAGGAACCGGCUAGAAUGGGGAGGGAACUGCUAGAACUGGGAGGAAACCGGAUAGAACACGUGCACGCGUGCAUGUGCGUGUCGCACGUAUGGCACGUGUGACGCGUACAUACGUGUGACGUGUACAUACGUGUGAAAGCUCUUUUGAGGCUAGAACUGGGAUGGUCACACGUACACACGUGUGGGAGUAGUGUGUGUCGCACGCGUGACGCGUACACACGUAUGAAGGCUCUUUUGAGGCUAGAACCGAGAGGGAUCCGGCUAGAAUGGGGAGGGAACUGUUAGAACCGGGAGGGAAUCAGACAAAACCGGGUGGGAACCGAUGGUUCUCCCCUAGAACCGGGCAGUUCCCGGUUUUGUGCUGGAAUCGGCACCGGCUGUGCCCAAUGGUUUAAAAAGGCUGAUCGGUGACCCCGAUCGGGCACCUCAAAAACUGAUCUGGAUCGACGAAUUGACGAUCCGAAUCGGGAAUCAGUCAGAUUAAAGCUUCAAAAAAAUCCGAAAAAAUUAUUAAAAUUCAUUACAAAUAUUGUUUUUUAAGAAUUCAAUAAGAAAUGAGGGCACUCCAUUAAGAAUUUUCAUUUCUUUGCAUGAAUAUGCAAAUAUUGAUAUGUUCUUUCCCUGCAUGAACUACUAUUUACCAUUUAAUUUACAUCACACAAAAGGAUAAACAUAGAAUUAUCAUGGAAUAAGUAUAUCAACAUACAUGGACUACAAUAAAGCAUACAAUUAGUAACAUACAAUCUAAAAAUAAAAUAACAAACGACGUCGUUUUUCUUCUUGGUCACGCUGAUACUAUUGAUUGAAUUCGUUUGACAAGAUAAUAUAAUUGUCAUACAUGCCACGAUUUUUUUACAAUGAUAUUCACUUUAAUUCUUCACGAUAGUACAAUUUAACAACAUGUGUUUUUUGCGUUCAAAAUUUUAAAAAUUGAAAAUACAUUUUUAAUGCAAAACUACAUUAAAAAUAUAAUACAGUUUUGCAUUAGAAAUAUAAUAACAUGUAUGUUUUUGCAUAAAUAUUCUAUCAACAUGAAAUUUUUUCAACAAAAAUUUUAACAAUAAAAAUUAAAAAUAUGGUUUAAUACCUCAUGAUCAUCAAAACCUGGUCACCAUUUUCACAUCUUUUCGGAAAAUCACGAUUUUUCAAAAAAAAUCGAUCAUGUACUUAAAAAAAAAAACAAUUCUUCACAGAGCCACCUAGC
rnacentral:lncRNA from 1 species